rnacentral:rRNA from 1 species
UACGAAGGGGGCUAGCGUUGCUCGGAAUCACUGGGCGUAAAGCGCACGUAGGCGGUUUGCUAAGUCAGGGGUGAAAUCCUGGAGCUCAACUCCAGAACUGCCUUUGAUACUGGCGGACUUGAGUCCGGGAGAGGUGAGUGGAACUGCGAGUGUAGAGGUGAAAUUCGUAGAUAUUCGCAAGAACACCAGUGGCGAAGGCGGCUCACUGGACCACAACUGACGCUGAGGCGCGAAAGCUAGGGGAGCAAACAGG